UGGGGAAUAUUGGACAAUGGGCGCAAGCCUGAUCCAGCCAUGCCGCGUGAGUGAUGAAGGCCCUAGGGUUGUAAAGCUCUUUCACCGGUGAAGAUAAUGACGGUAACCGGAGAAGAAGCCCCGGCUAACUUCGUGCCAGCAGCCGCGGUAAUACGAAGGGGGCUAGCGUUGUUCGGAAUUACUGGGCGUAAAGCGUGCGCAGGCGGUUGUGUAAGUCAGAUGUGAAAUCCCCGGGCUCAACCUGGGAAUUGCAUUUGAGACUGCACGGCUAGAGUGUGUCAGAGGGGGGUAGAAUUCCACGUGUAGCAGUGAAAUGCGUAGAUAUGCGGAGGAACACCGAUGGCGAAGGCAAUCCCCUGGGCCUGUACUGACGCUCAUGCACGAAAGCGUGGGGAGCAAACA
rnacentral:rRNA from 1 species